rnacentral:tRNA from 7 species
CGAUUAAAUGGCUGAAAUUUAGGCAAUAGACUGUAAAUCUAUUUAUGAGAGUUAUUCUCUUUAAUCA